rnacentral:rRNA from 1 species
CACGGGGUGCGCUGUCAUCGCGGGGCGAAUACUGGCCUUCCUUAGUAACGGCAAGCGAAUCGGGAACAACCCAGCCUUAGAAUCGGGCGGCUCCGUCGUCCGAAUUAUAGUCUAGAGAGCCGUCGUCAGUGGCGGACCGGGCCCAAGUCCCCUGGAAGGGGGCGCCAGAGAGGGUGAGAGACCCAUUGUGCCCGAACCCUGGUGCACCAUGAGACGCUGUCUACGAGUUGGGUUUUUUGGGAAUGCAGCCCAAAUCGGGUGGUGAAUUCCGUCCAAGGCUAAAUACGGGCGAGAGACCGAUAGCGAACAAGUACCGCGAGGGAAAGAUGAAAAAGACUUUGAGAAAAGAGUCAAAGAGUGCUUUAAAUUGUCGUGAGGGAAGCGGAUGGGGGCCGGCGAUGUGCCCCGAGAAGGAUGUGGAACGGCGAUGAUCCGGUCUGCCGAUCGACUCAGGGCAUGGACCAGCGCCAAUUAGGGGACGGCCAAAGCCCAGGCUCUCGAUAUGCUCGUGGAACGCCGUCUCCUCGAUUGUGGCAGGCAGCGCGCACCUUUGGUGUGAUUAGGCAUCUGCGCGCUCUGGACGCUGGCCUGUGGGCUCCCCAUUCAACUCGUCUUGAAACACGGACCAAGGAGUCUGACAUGUGUGCGAGUCAACGGGCGAGUAUACCCGUAAGGCGCAAUGAAUAUGAUUGGUGGGAUUGUCACGCCCCAAAUCCUAUUAAGGCGGACUGGCACCCGUUGCCGGUAAGGCUCGGGAGAACCAACCUGUAGCAAUACAUUACCUAUGAACAUUAUAAGUUACUUUUAUACUAAACAUGCCCUCAAAAGAUAAAUGGAACUAGCAAGCCAAAAGAUGUUGUAUGACUAGGCCGUUGGAGCCACAAUGUCUACGAUACGAUACAUGACCAUACUAUACUUUACAUAGUCUACAAAGCCUCUAGACAAGAAACAUUAUCUUAUAAGGGUCGGGACAGGCCCCGCCUCAUGAUAAGAUACUAUACAAUGCAAAAAGAUAUGAUAAGACUCAAAGCCCCGAAGCAACCUGGAGCUCAGUGACUGCAGUUGAUAUCCUGUACUCUUACUGGGGAGGUUUAUUAGCUUCUGCACCUGCAGCAUGGAAUGCAGGUCCCCCAACAGGGACGUCAGUACGAAAUAAUGUACUGAAUAUGUAAGGCAACAUGUACUUAUAUAUGAGAUAAAAGCUCAAAUGAAACCAUACACUGCUGUAAGGUAAAAGACCACCUUUAUGAAUAUUGUGGAGUCAUGCAUCUUAUAACAAUUAUGUUACUUUACUCUUAUCACUUGUAUAAUCUGUGCACAUCAUGUAAUACAAAUGACCAGCUGAUCAGUGGUAAAUCUAUAUCAGGAUCGACCCAUGCUAGGCUUUCCUUUCACCCCUGGGAUACCCCCUGUAAUACUGGGAUUGACCCAUGCUAGGUGAUUCUUUCACCCCUGGGAUACCACCCAACAGAAACAACUGUAUACAUAUAUCUUCUUAUUACUUUUGAGAUGAAUCUUUGGUGGUCGUAACAUUUGAGCUAUAAGACUAUAAGCAUGACAAAUGAGAAGUAUGUGACCAUGUAACAUCAUAUCACAAUGAAAAGAGUGGGUUAUACAAUUAGUGAAACCUGUAGGACAUAAACAACGUAUGAACUUUAUUUAGCUAAAAAGAAGACUCAUAUGUCAUGGUAUGCAAUGUAUGUAUGCAGCAGUGACAAUGCUCAAAUCUGGACACACAAAUACAUGUGAAAGAGUGGAGUAGUUAUAUCGAAGUUUGUAAAGAUCUCUAUGUGCCAAUAAAGACUUUGGAUUCCAUGCCAAAUAAUAAGAGAUCGAAUAGCCUUACAUACCUCGACAUAUCAACUUGUUUUUACCUCGAAAUGACUUCUUUUCUUCCAACUAUUUAUCUACAAUAUCAUGUUUUAAAGCUAGUAUUAGCAGCUAAUCAAUGCAUCUGGACAGCCCAAUCUCACAAAACACAACAUCUUUUGGCUUGCUAGUUCCAUUUAUCUUUUGAGGGCAUGUUUAGUAUAAAAGUAACUUAUAAUGUUCAUAGGUAAUGUAUUGCUACAGGUUGGUUCUCCCGAGCCUUACCGGCAACGGGUGCCAGUCCGCCUUAAUAGGAUUUGGGGCGUGACAGGGAUCCCCCCGAGGGGUGCACCGCCGACCAACCUUGAUCUUCUGAGAAGGGUUCAAGUGUGAGCAUACCUGUCGAGACUCGAAAGAUGGUGAACUAUGCCUGAGCGGGGCGAAUCCAGAGGAAACUCAGGUGGAGGCCCGCAGCGAUACUGACGUGCAAAUCAUUCGUCUGACUUGGGUAUAGGGGCAAAAGACUAAUCAAACCGUGUAGUAGCUGGUUCCCUCCAAAGUUUCCCUCAGGAUAGCUGGGAAAGAAGACCCUGUUGAGCUUGACUCUAGUCCGACUUUGUGAAAUGACUUGAGAGGUCUAUUAUAAGUGGGAGCAGAAAGGUGAAAGUGAAAUACCACUACUUUUAACGUUAUUUUACUUAUUCCGUGAAUCGGAAGUGGGGCACUGCCCCUCUUUUUGAACCCAAGGCUUGCUCUGCGGGCCGAUCUGGACGGAAGACAUUGUCAGGUGGGGAUUUUGGCUGGGGCAGCACAUCUGUUAAAAGAUAAUGCAGGUGUUCUAAGAUGAGCUCAAGGAGAAGAGAAAUCUCGUUUGGAACAGAAGGGUAAAAGCUCAUUUGAUUAUGACUUCCAGUACAAAUACGAACCGUGAAAGCGUGGCCUAAUGAUCCUUUAGACCUUCGGAAUUCGAAGGUAGAGGUGUCAAAAAAGUUACCACAGGGAUAACUGGCUUGUGGCAGCCAAGAGUUCAUAGCGACGUUGCUUUUUGAUCCUUCGAUGUCGGCUCUUCCUAUCAUUGUGAAGCAGAAUUCACCAAGUGUUGGAUUGUUCACCCACCAAUAGGGAACGUGAGCUGGGUUUAGACCGUCGUGAGACAGGUUAGUUUUACCCUACUGAUGACAGUGUCAUAAUAGUAAUUCAACCUAGUACGAGAGGAACCUUUGAUUCACACAAUUGGUCAUCGCGCUUGGUUGAAAAGCCAGUGGAGCAAAGCUAUCGUGUGCUGGAUUAUGAUUGAAUGCCUCUAAGUCAGAAUCCGGGCUACAAGCGACGCAUAUGCCCACCGUCAGCUUGCCGACCCACAGUAGGGGCUUUGG